ACAUUUUAUCUGGUUAACACCAUGGUGGACAUGCCUGCUGUAAGGUGUCCCCUUAGGAAGUAGGCAUUUGCGACCACAGCGGAGGACACGGACCCUGUAAAUGGCAUAACCUUACUUUGCCUUGUAUCCCAGCCUUUGCGCUUCAUCACACCGGGGAUCUGGAGAGCCCUAUGCAGCUCAGAGAGCUGGCGGUAAUGCCCGCAGUGGACCUUCAGAAGAAAGCCUAUCACACAGGGUUGCUUCUUCUUCCAUAGCUCCUGGAUAUAUUUGUAUGUACUCAUCUUGGCUCACCUGAUGGCUGUCUCCAGAGGAAAGAAGUCUUUUUUUUCCCCACAGAUGAGCAUGGGACCACCAUUGACGAGUUGCCUGGUCUUAAACAUAGCAACUUCAGUGGUUCUCCUGGUUAGCCUCCGUUGUUAACAUGACACAGCACAGAUUUAUCUGAAGGAAUCUCAGCUGGGUGAUUGCUUUAAUCAGAUGGACUUGUGGGGCCAUUUUCUUCACUGACAAUUGAUGAAGGAGGUCCAGGCCCACUGUGGGUGGGGUGGUCCUUGGGCACAGGGACCUGGGCUAUAUAAGAAAGGUAGCUGAAAGGGAACAGGCCACUAAGUAGCAUUCCUCCAUGGUGCCAGUAGUCUUCCAUCUCCAGGAACUACUUGGCCCAGAUACUUGUACACUGAGUGUUCACUGAGCAGGAGGAAAGAAAACGAGUGGUACACUGAAUGCUCUCUUCCGAGAGAUACAUCCUGGAGGAAGGAAAUAAUGAUGUCACUGGCCAAGGGCCUCAACACAGCCAGAACACCUCUCCACUGUCCCUUUCCCCCAGACCAACUCCUGUCCAUCUCUCCUCAGAAAAGAGCAGGCCUCCAAGAGACAACAAUGAAACACAGGACAACAAGAUACAAUAAAGCAAGAAUUCUGAAAGUGUAUAUGACUCCUGCAGCCAAGAAGCCUCUGGUCUCUCAGCAGUCAAAACUAGGCACAAGGUAAAUGUAUGUCUAAUUUUCAAGAUCUGGGAACAUUAGUUUACAUCAUGGAUCUGACAACUGCAACCAAAGUACUGUUUGCGAUUAAAGUGAAAGAAACAUC